rnacentral:rRNA from 1 species
GAUCCUGGCUCAGGAUGAACGCUAGCGGCAGGCUUAACACAUGCAAGUCGAGGGGCAGCGGGAAUUGUGCUUGCACAAUUUGCCGGCGACCGGCGCACGGGUGAGUAACGCGUAUCCAACCUGCCCAUUACUCUGGGAUAGCCUUGCGAAAGUAAGAUUAAUACCGGAUGUUGUUAAAAACCCGCAUGAGUUUUUAACCAAAGAUUUAUUGGUAAUGGAUGGGGAUGCGUGACAUUAGGUAGUAGGUGAGGUAACGGCUCACCUAGCCUACGAUGUCUAGGGGUUCUGAGAGGAAGGUCCCCCACACUGGAACUGAGACACGGUCCAGACUCCUACGGGAGGCAGCAGUGAGGAAUAUUGGUCAAUGGUCGAGAGACUGAACCAGCCAAGUAGCGUGCAGGAUGACGGCCCUCUGGGUUGUAAACUGCUUUUAGUUGGGAAUAAAAGGGAGUACGUGUACUCUGUAUUGUAUGUACCAUCAGAAAAAGGACCGGCUAAUUCCGUG